rnacentral:misc_RNA from 1 species
GGAGAUUUGUACUUGUAAACUGGAGGUGGUGGUGGAGAUUUAUACUUAUAAAUGGGUGGCGGUGGGGAUUUAUAGAUUGGAGGAGGUGGUGGUGGUGACUUGUACUUAUAAACUGGUGGUGGCGGAGACUUAUACUUAUAAACUGGAGUUGGUGGAGGUGGAGAUGUGUAGUAGUAAUUUGCUUUGCAUUCUGAAGGGAAGCUAAGUGACACUAAAGCCACUAAAAGAGUGGUAAGAAGAUAGGCUAUUUU